rnacentral:rRNA from 1 species
AUGCAUGUUAUUUGUCAAAGCCUGCUCUGUUGGGGCUCUAAGAACUCUAUGACUGCUCCACCAUCUCAGCUCAGGGUCAGCCUAUACGCCGAUGACGCGGCUCUGUUCAUGUCUCCUUCGGCAGCAGACAUUCAAACUACCAAACAAAUCCUCCUGCUCUUCGGUUCUGCCUCUGGGCUCAAGGCCAAUGUUCAGAAAAGUGUUCUUCUUCAUAUUGCUUGUGAUGAUAUUAACCUCCAAGAUCUGCUACAGAACUUCCCGGUUCCCAUCAGUCAGUUCCUUGCAAAUACCUGGGUUUGCCUCUCCACUUCAGGAACAUCACAAGAACGGGCAUCCAGCCAACUCUUGUUAAACUGGUAUCUAGGCUGCAAGGUUGGUGUGGUAAGCUUCUAUCUAGUGAUGCUCGCCUUCAGCUGA